rnacentral:rRNA from 1 species
GAUGAACGCUGGCGGCGUGCCUAACACAUGCAAGUCGAGCGAUUUACUUCGGUAAAGAGCGGCGGACGGGUGAGUAACGCGUGGGUAACCUGCCCUGUACACACUGCUAACAUACCGAAAGGUAUGCUAAUACGAGAUAAUAUGCUUUUAUCGCAUGGUAGAAGUAUCAAAGCUUUUGCGGUACAGGAUGGACCCGCGUCUGAUUAGCUAGUUGGUGAGGUAACGGCUCACCAAGGCGACGAACAGUAGCCGACCUGAGAGGGUGAUCGGCCACAUUGGAACUGAGACACGGUCCAAACUCCUACGGGAGGCAGCAGUGGGGAAUAGUGCACAAUGGGCGAAAGCCUGAUGCAGCAACGCCGCGUGAGCGAUGAAGGCCUUCGGGUCGUAAAGCUCUGUCCUCAAGGAAGAUAAUGACGGUACUUGAGGAGGAAGCCCCGGCUAACUACGUG